rnacentral:rRNA from 1 species
AGAAUCAACGCUGGCGGCGUGCCUAACACAUGCAAGUCGAACGAGAAAGGGGAGCAAUCCCUGAGUAAAGUGGCGCACGGGUGAGUAACACGUGACUAACCUACCCUGGAGUGGGGGGAUAACUGAGGGAAACCUUAGCUAAUACCGCAUAACACCUACGGGUCAAAGGAGCAAUUCGCUUUGGGAGGGGGUCGCGGCCGAUUAGUUAGUUGGCGGGGUAAUGGCCCACCAAGACAGUGAUCGGUAUCCGGCCUGAGAGGGCGCACGGACACACUGGAACUGAAACACGGUCCAGACUCCUACGGGAGGCAGCAGUGGGGAAUUUGCGCAAUGGGGAAACCCUGACGCAGCAACGCCGCGUGGAGGAUGAAGUACUUCGGUACGUAAACUCCUUUCGAUCGGGACGAUAAUGACGGUACCGGAAGAAGAAGCCCCGGCUAACUUCGUGCCAGCAGCCGC